UACGUAGGGUGCAAGCGUUGUCCGGAAUUAUUGGGCGUAAAGAGCUCGUAGGCGGUCUGUCACGUCGGCUGUGAAAACCCGGGGCUCAACCCCGGGCCUGCAGUCGAUACGGGCAGACUAGAGUGCGGUAGGGGAGACUGGAAUUCCUGGUGUAGCGGUGAAAUGCGCAGAUAUCAGGAGGAACACCGGUGGCGAAGGCGGGUCUCUGGGCCGUAACUGACGCUGAGGAGCGAAAGCGUGGGGAGCGAACAGG
rnacentral:rRNA from 1 species